GGGUUGUGAGGUUAAGCGACCAAGCGUACACGGUGGAUGCCCUGGCAGUCAGAGGCGAUGAAGGACGUGCUAAUCUGCGAAAAGCGCCGGUAAGGUGAUAUGAACCGUUAUAACCGGCGAUGUCCGAAUGGGGAAACCCAGUGUGACUCGUCACACUAUCAUUAACUGAAUCCAUAGGUUAAUGAGGCGAACCGGGGGAACUGAAACAUCUAAGUACCCCGAGGAAAAGAAAUCAACCGAGAUUCCCCCAGUAGCGGCGAGCGAACGGGGAGCAGCCCAGAGCCUGAAUCAGCAUGUGUGUUAGUGGAAGCGUCUGGAAAGGCGCGCGAUACAGGGUGACAGCCCCGUACACAAAAGCGCAUGUGCUGUGAGCUCGAUGAGUAGGGCGGGACACGUGGUAUCCUGUCUGAAUAUGGGGGGACCAUCCUCCAAGGCUAAAUACUCCUGACUGACCGAUAGUGAACCAGUACCGUGAGGGAAAGGCGAAAAGAACCCCGGCGAGGGGAGUGAAACAGAACCUGAAACCGUGUACGUACAAGCAGUGGGAGCAUGAGUUUACUCAGUUUAGGGGAGCCGUAGGGAAACCGAGUCUUAACCGGGCGUUAAGUUGCAGGGUAUAGACCCGAAACCCGGUGAUCUAGCCAUGGGCAGGUUGAAGGUUGGGUAACACUAACUGGAGGACCGAACCGACUAAUGUUGAAAAAUUAGCGGAUGACCUGUGGCUGGGGGUGAAAGGCCAAUCAAACCGGGAGAUAGCUGGUUCUCCCCGAAAGCUAUUUAGGUAGCGCCUCGUGAAUUCAUCUCCGGGGGUAGAGCACUGUUUCGGCCAGGGGGCCAUCCCGGCUUACCAACCCGAUGCAAACUGCGAAUACCGGAGAAUGUUAUCACGGGAGACACACGGCGGGUGCUAACGUCCGUCGUGAAGAGGGAAACAACCCAGACCGCCAGCUAAGGUCCCAAAGUCAUGGUUAAGUGGGAAACGAUGUGGGAAGGCCCAGACAGCCAGGAUGUUGGCUUAGAAGCAGCCAUCAUUUAAAGAAAGCGUAAUAGCUCACUGGUCGAGUCGGCCUGCGCGGAAGAUGUAACGGGGCUAAACCAUGCACCGAAGCUGCGGCAGCGAUCGUGUGGGUAGGGGAGCGUUCUGUAAGCCUGCGAAGGUGGCCUGUGAGGGUUGCUGGAGGUAUCAGAAGUGCGAAUGCUGACAUAAGUAACGAUAAUGCGGGUGAAAAACCCGCACGCCGGAAGACCAAGGGUUCCUGUCCAACGUUAAUCGGGGCAGGGUGAGUCGACCCCUAAGGCGAGGCCGAAAGGCGUAGUCGAUGGGAAACAGGUUAAUAUUCCUGUACCUGGUGUUACUGCGAAGGGGGGACGGAGAAGGCUAUGUUGGCCGGGCGACGGUUGUCCCGGUUUAAGCGUGUAGGCUGGUGUUCCAGGAAAAUCCGGAACUUUAACACUGAGGCGUGACGACGAGGCACUACGGUGCUGAAGCAACAAAUGCCCUGCUUCCAGGAAAAGCCUCUAAGCCUCAGGUAACAUCAGAUCGUACCCGAAACCGACACAGGUGGUCAGGUAGAGAAUACCAAGGCGCUUGAGAGAACCCGGGUGAAGGAACUAGGCAAAAUGGUGCCGUAACUUCGGGAGAAGGCACGCUGACACGUAGGUGAAGCGGUUUACCCGUGAAGCUGAAGUCAGUCGAAGAUACCAGCUGGCUGCAACUGUUUAUUAAAAACACAGCACUGUGCAAACACGAAAGUGGACGUAUACGGUGUGACGCCUGCCCGGUGCCGGAAGGUUAAUUGAUGGGGUCAGCGCAAGCGAAGCUCCUGAUCGAAGCCCCGGUAAACGGCGGCCGUAACUAUAACGGUCCUAAGGUAGCGAAAUUCCUUGUCGGGUAAGUUCCGACCUGCACGAAUGGCGUAAUGAUGGCCAGGCUGUCUCCACCCGGGACUCAGUGAAAUUGAACUCGCUGUGAAGAUGCAGUGUACCCGCGGCAAGACGGAAAGACCCCGUGAACCUUUACUAUAGCUUGACACUGAACACUGGUCCUUGAUGUGCAGGAUAGGUGGGAGGCUUUGAAGUGUGGACGCCAGUCUGCAUGGAGCCGUCCUUGAAAUACCACCCUUUAAUGGCUGGUGUUCUAACGUAGACCCGUGAACCGGGUUGCGGACAGUGUCUGGUGGGUAGUUUGACUGGGGCGGUCUCCUCCUAAAGCGUAACGGAGGAGCACGAAGGUUGGCUAAUCCUGGUCGGACAUCAGGAGGUUAGUGCAAUGGCAUAAGCCAGCUUGACUGCGAGCGUGACGGCGCGAGCAGGUGCGAAAGCAGGUCAUAGUGAUCCGGUGGUUCUGAAUGGAAGGGCCAUCGCUCAACGGAUAAAAGGUACUCCGGGGAUAACAGGCUGAUACCGCCCAAGAGUUCAUAUCGACGGCGGUGUUUGGCACCUCGAUGUCGGCUCAUCACAUCCUGGGGCUGAAGUAGGUCCCAAGGGUAUGGCUGUUCGCCAUUUAAAGUGGUACGCGAGCUGGGUUUAGAACGUCGUGAGACAGUUCGGUCCCUAUCUGCCGUGGGCGCUGGAGAACUGAGGGGGGCUGCUCCUAGUACGAGAGGACCGGAGUGGACGCAUCACUGGUGUUCGGGUUGUCAUGCCAAUGGCACUGCCCGGUAGCUAAAUGCGGAAGAGAUAAGUGCUGAAAGCAUCUAAGCACGAAACUUGCCCCGAGAUGAGUUCUCCCUGAGACUACAAGUCUCCUGAAGGAACGUUGAAGACGACGACGUUGAUAGGCCGGGUGUGUAAGCGCAGCGAUGCGUUGAGCUAACCGGUACUAAUGAACCGUGAGGCUUAACCUUACAACGCCGAAG
rnacentral:rRNA from 1 species